rnacentral:tRNA from 1 species
CACUAGGAAGCUAAAUCGGGAUCAGCGUUAGCCUUUUAAGCUAAAGACUGGUGGCCCCCAACCACCCCUAAUGA